rfam:Phaseolus vulgaris cultivar G19833 chromosome 8, whole genome shotgun sequence.
AAGCCCAUGAUUUGGGUAUUUCCUCUACAUCAUUUUGAAUCUCUCCCAUGUCUCAUAGAAAGAUUCCUCUGCUCCUUGUCUGAACAUAGAGAUUUCAUACUUUGCUU